rnacentral:rRNA from 1 species
GUUGGCUUAGAAGCAGCCAUACAUUCAAAGAGUGCGUAAUAGCUCACUGGUCGAGAGACCUUGCGCCGAAGAUUUCCGGGACUCAAAUCAGAUACCGAAGCUGUGGAAUUCAAAAGAAUUGGUAGAGGAGCAUUGUGUGUGGAUAGAAGCUAUACCGAAAGGAAUGGUGGACUACACACAAGAGAGAAUGCUGGCAUAAGUAGCGAAAGGUGAGUGAGAAUCUCACCCAUCGAAAGCCUAAGGAUUCCUGAGGAAGGCUCGUCCACUCAGGGUAAGUCGGGACCUAAGCCGAGGCUGAAAAGCGUAGGCGAUGGACAACAGGUUGAAAUUCCUGUACUAGUGAAUUGCGUUUGAGAGAAGGAGUGACGCAGGAGGAUAAGUUGAGCGUACCGUUGGUAGAGUACGUCUAAGUAACAAGAGAGUGAUGAAAGGCAAACCCGUCAUCACAAUCUCAAGUUAUGAUGGGGAGCGAAAAACAAGUAGCGAAGCAACUGAUUUCACACUGCCAAGAAAAGCUUCUAUCGAGCAAAGAACUACCCGUACCGCAAACCGACACAGGUAGGCGAGGAGAGAAUCCUAAGAUGAGCGGAAGAACCAUUGUUAAGGAACUCGGCAAAAUAGCCCCGUAACUUCGGGAGAAGGGGUGCCAUGGAAACAUGGCCGCAGUGAAUAGGCCCAAGCGACUGUUUACCAAAAACACAGGUCUCUGCUAAGUCGAAAGACGAAGUAUAGGGGCUGACACCUGCCCGGUGCUGGAAGGUUAAGGGGAAUGCUUAGCGCAAGCGAAGGUAUGAACUUAAGCCCCAGUAAACGGCGGCCGUAACUAUAACGGUCCUAAGGUAGCGAAAUUCCUUGUCGGGUAAGUUCCGACCCGCACGAAAGGUGUAACGAUUUGGGCACUGUCUCAACAAUAGAUCCGGUGAAAUUGUAGUACUCGUGAAGAUGCGAGUUACCCGCGGCAGGACGGAAAGACCCCAUGGAGCUUUACUGCAGGCUGACAUUGGAAUUCGGUAGCAAUUGUACAGAAUAGGUGGGAGACUGAGAAGCCAGUACGCCAGUAUUGGUGGAGUCGCCUUUGGGAUACCACUCUAUUGUUACUGAAUUUCUAACAUGAUACCGUAAGCCGGUAUAUGGACACUGUCAGUUGGGCAGUUUGACUGGGGCGGUCGCCUCCGAAAGAGUAACGGAGGCGCUCAAAGGUUCCCUCAGCACGGUCGGAAAUCGUGCGAAGAGUGUAAAGGCA